rnacentral:rRNA from 1 species
GACGAACGCUGGCGGCGUGCUUAACACAUGCAAGUCGAACGAAGAGCGACGGAAGCUUGCUUCUAUCAAUCUUAGUGGCGAACGGGUGAGUAACGCGUAAUCAACCUGCCCUUCAGAGGGGGACAACAGUUGGAAACGACUGCUAAUACCGCAUACGAUCUAAUCUCGGCAUCGAGGAUGGAUGAAAGGUGGCCUCUACAUGUAAGCUAUCACUGAAGGAGGGGAUUGCGUCUGAUUAGCUAGUUGGAGGGGUAACGGCCCACCAAGGCGAUGAUCAGUAGCCGGUCUGAGAGGAUGAACGGCCACAUUGGGACUGAGACACGGCCCAGACUCCUACGGGAGGCAGCAGUGGGGAAUCUUCCGCAAUGGACGAAAGUCUGACGGAGCAACGCCGCGUGGGUGAUGACGGCCUUCGGGUUGUAAAGCUCUGUUAAUCGGGACGAAAGGCCUUCUUGCGAAUAGUGAGAAGGAUUGACGGUACCGGAAUAGAAAGCCACGGCUAACUACGUG